UACGUAGGGUGCAAGCGUUAAUCGGAAUUACUGGGCGUAAAGCGUGCGCAGGCGGCUAUGCAAGACAGAUGUGAAAUCCCCGGGCUCAACCUGGGAACUGCAUUUGUGACUGCAUGGCUAGAGUACGGUAGAGGGGGAUGGAAUUCCGCGUGUAGCAGUGAAAUGCGUAGAUAUGCGGAGGAACACCGACGGCGAAGGCAAUCCCCUGGACCUGUACUGACGCUCAUGCACGAAAGCGUGGGGAGCAAACAGG
rnacentral:rRNA from 1 species